rnacentral:rRNA from 1 species
GUGCCACCAUCCACGGUAAUACUUACGGUGCGAGCCUUGUCCGGAAUUACUGGGCGUAAAGGGCUCGUAGGUGGUUUGUCGCGUCGUCUGUGAAUUCCGGGGCUUAACUCCGGGCGUGCAGGCGAUACGGGCAUAACUUGAGUACUGUAGGGGUAACUGGAAUUCCUGGUGUAGCGGUGAAAUGCGCAGAUAUCAGGAGGAACACCGAUGGCGAAGGCAGGUUACUGGGCAGUUACUGACGCUGAGGAGCGAAAGCAUGGGUAGCGAACAGGAUUAGAUACCCUGGUAGUCC